rnacentral:rRNA from 1 species
UGCUGUAUAAAAGGUGGCCUUCGGGCUGUCGUUGGGGGAUGAGUCUGCGUCCUAUUAGUUAGUUGGUGAGGUAAUGGCUCACCAAGGCGAUGAUAGGUAGGCGGCCUUAACGGGUGGUCGCCCACACUGGGAUUGAGAUACGGCCCAGACUCCUACGGGAGGCAGCAGUCGAGAAUAGUCUACAAUGGACGAAAGUCUGAUAGUGCGACGCCGCGUGAACGAAGACUCCCUAACAGGGUGUAAAGUUCUUUUAUAUGUGAGCAAUGGGUUAUAUAUUAAUAGUAUGUAGCCAGAGAUAUUAGCAUAUGAAUAAGCAACGGCUAACUCCGUGCCAGCAGCCGCGGUAACACGGGGGUUGCAAGCGUUGUCCGGAAUUACUAGGCGUAAAGGGCAGGUAGGCGGAUCAGUAAGUUUGAUGUCAAAUCCAUCGGCUCACCCGAUGAUCGGCAUCAGAUACUGCUGAUCUGGAAUACGGUUGAGGAAGACAGAAUUCCUGGUGUAGCGGUGGGAUGCGCAGAGAUCAGGAGGAAUACCAAAUGCGAAGGCAGUCUUCUAGGCCGUUAUUGACGCUAAACUGCGAAGGUGUGGGGAUCAAACAGGAUUAGAUACCCUGGUAGUCCACACUGUAAACGAUGAAAACUGGCUGUCGGCGAUACACAGUCGGUGGGCAAGCGAAAGCAAUAAGUAUUCCCACCUGGGGAGUACGACCGCAAGGUUGAAACUCAAAAGAAUUGACGGGGGGCCGCACAAGCGGAGGAACAUGUGGUUUAAUUUGAUGAUACGCGAGGAACCUUACCCGGGCUCGAACGGUGCAUGAAUAUACGAGAGAUUGUAUAGUCCUUCGGGACAUGUAUCGAGGUGCUGCAUGGUUGUCGUCAGCUCGUGCCGUGAGGUGUCGGCUUAAGUGCCAUAACGAGCGCAACCCUUGUCAUUAGUUGCCAUCAGGUCAAGCUGGGGACUUUAAUGAGACUGCCACCGUAAGGUGUGAGGAAGGGGGGGAGGACGUCAAAUCAGCACGGCCCUUAUGUCCGGGGGGACACACGUGUUACAAUGGGAGGUACAGAGGGCAGCUAUCCGGUGACGGAAUGCUAAUCUCCAAAACCCUUCUCAGUUCGGAUUGGAGUGUGCAACUCGACUCCACGAAGGUGGAUUCGCUAGUAAUCGCGCAUCAGCCAUGGCGCGGUGAAUAAGUUCCCGGGCCUUGCACACACCGCCCGUC